AGAGUUUGAUCCUGGCUCAGAUUGAACGCUGGCGGCAUGCCUUACACAUGCAAGUCGAACGGUAACAGCACUUCGGUGGCUGACGAGUGGCGAACGGGUGAGUAAUACAUCGGAACGUGCCCGAGAGUGGGGGAUAACGCAGCGAAAGCUGUGCUAAUACCGCAUACGAUCUACGGAUGAAAGCAGGGGACCGCAAGGCCUUGCGCUCAUGGAGCGGCCGAUGGCAGAUUAGGUAGUUGGUGGGAUAAAAGCUUACCAAGCCGACGAUCUGUAGCUGGUCUGAGAGGACGACCAGCCACACUGGGACUGAGACACGGCCCAGACUCCUACGGGAGGCAGCAGUGGGGAAUUUUGGACAAUGGGCGAAAGCCUG
rnacentral:rRNA from 1 species